CUGGUCAGGAUGAACGCUAGCGACAGGCCUAACACAUGCAAGUCGAGGGGCAGCACAAGGAGCAAUCUGAGGUGGCGACCGGCGCACGGGUGAGUAACACGUAUGCAACCUGCCUGUAAGCGGGGAAUAACCCGUUGAAAGACGGACUAAUACCGCAUAAUACUAAAUUACUGCAUGGUAAUUUAUUUAAACAUUUAUGGCUUACAGAUGGGCAUGCGCAUGAUUAGCUAGUUGGAGAGGUAACGGCUCCCCAAGGCAACGAUCAUUAGGGGUUCUGAGAGGAAGGUCCCCCCACACUGGUACUGAGACACGGACCAGACUCCUACGGGAGGCAGCAGUGAGGAAUAUUGGUCAAUGGACGAGAGUCUGAACCAGCCAAGUCGCGUGCAGGAAGAAUUGUCCUAUGGAUUGUAAACUGCUUUUGCAGGGGAAUAAAGUGCAUCACGUGUGAUGUUUUGUAUGUACUCUGCGAAUAAGGAUCGGCUAACUCCGUGCCAGCCGCCGC
rnacentral:rRNA from 1 species